rnacentral:rRNA from 1 species
UCUCCGUUGGUGAACCAGCGGAGGGAUCAUUACCGAGUUAUCCAACUCCCAACCCCUGUGAACUAUACCUGUAACUGUUGCUUCGGCGGGACUUCGCGCCCGCCGGGGACCCAAACCUUCUGAAUUUUUUAAUGAGUAUCUUCUGAGUGGUAAAAAAAAUGAAUCAAAACUUUCAACAACGGAUCUCUUGGUUCUGGCAUCGAUGAAGAACGCAGCGAAAUGCGAUAAGUAAUGUGAAUUGCAGAAUUCAGUGAAUCAUCGAAUCUUUGAACGCACAUUGCGCCCGUCAGUAUUCUGGCGGGCAUGCCUGUUCGAGCGUCAUUACGCCCCUCAAGUCCCCCGUGGACUUGGUGUUGGGGAUCGGCGAGCGCUGUCUUCUCAGCACGCCGUCCCCCAAAUUUAUUGGCGGUCUCGCCGUGGCCAUCCUCUGCGCAGUAGUAAAACACUCGCAACGGGAGCCCGGUGAGGUCCACUGCCGUAAAACCCCCAACUUUUUACAGUUGACCUCGAAUCAGGUAGGACUACCCGCUGAACUUAA